CCAAAUUUCCCUCACGGGAUCAAAAAAGUAUAUAUACUUAUACUAGGUGUUUUUGUUUGUUGUGCAAUGACAGGAUGUGACUACAAUGUAGUGUCUUUAACAUAUCAGCAGUGUUGGGAAGGUUACUUUUAACAUGUAUUCCACUACAGAUUACUGAAUACAUGCCCUAAAAUGUAUUUUGUAAUGUAGUCCGAUAGAUUACUAAAAGUGAGUAAUGUAUUUUGAAUGCUUUGGAUUACAUGAACGUUGUAUUAUAUUUUUAUUAGCAGUGGAUGAAACUGUUAUGUGAGGGUAUGUGAAGUUAUAAGACUCAUAGUGUCAACAACAUUCCAUGAUCUGCUUUACAGUGAGGAUGGAUUGAUUUAAUAUACAGUAUAAGCUACAGUAUGUGCUAUGAAACCGUGUCAAAGAAGAAUGAGAUGUUUUGAGAGAUGUUUUCUGCACAUAGGCUAAAAGGCUACCACAUACCAAACAAAGUAUACCUUUUUUGAUGAACACAAGGGGAGUUACAUGCCUUUUUGCAGAACACUGUCAAGAAAUGAGAACCUACUGCCCUAAAACAUGCUGGCUGGAUAUAGGCCUAAUUGGCCUACAACAAAACACAUUUUACAUUCUACAUUCCCUGAGAGGUUAUUCAUUUAGGCUAACAGUAUAAACAGAGGGAAAUAGAAAGAAGCCACCUGAUAGAUACAGUACAUAUAGGCUACAUGGAGUGGUUAAAAGAAUAUUUGAAUUUGAGUUUGAAAAGCCAUGGCGUACAUGUUAUUAUGAUUUAAAGUGUAAUCCAUUAAAUGUAUCAGUGUAACUGUAUUCUGAAUACCACCCACUUAAAUUUAAAUACAGUUACUCAUAUUGUGUAUUUUAAAGACGUUAUCCGGAAUACAUGUAUUCCGUUACUUCCCCACACUGCAUAUCAGCACUUCUGUAGUGGGACAGUUAUUUAAGUGGAAUUUUACAGAACAUUAUUACAAUGUAAUCAUUUAAAUUCAAUCCAAACCAACCUAAACUGGCUUUCCAAAAUACUGGAAAGACAAAUGGAACCUAAGUAGGUAACAGAGACUUUUACUAUUUCAUUAUGGUAAACCUUUAUGUUAUUGUCAUCUUUUUCCUUUACGUUAAGCAAGAUGCUGAAGAAAGUCUUAUCCAGGUGUGUGUUGAAGCCACCGUGUCAAGUGAAGGACACAUACCUGCCUCCAUACACACCACUACCUCCCUGAGGUCAAAGAGUUUAGCGCAUUGCUUUCAGUGCAGCUAAAACGGGGAAAAGAAUAUAAGUUUCCCUCAACAACGCCAUUGUGCUCUAAUAAGAUCUGGCAGUGGAAGAGACCAAUGAAAUGUGCGUCUGGUAAAGCAGUGAGCUUUGGUGCUGUGUGACUGAGCAAUGCUGGUGGUGUGUGUGUAUGUGUGUGUGUGUGUGUGUGUGUGUAUUUUGUGUAUUUUGUGUGGGUUUUAUGCAGUACUUUUGUACUGUAAAUUAUACAGCAUAUUUUGUGUCACUAUACAGUAUUAACAUGUGUAUAUAGGAAUAUUGCAUGUGUUAUUUUCAUAUCACAACAACGUAUACGAUGUUCUGUGUCUUUGGCAUAUGGAAUAUAUCAAUGUGUUUUGUGAGUUUGUACAAUAAUGUGAAUAUUUGCAUGUGCACGCGCGCAUGCCACCAUCACGAUGAUUACUGACCCCCACAGAGUUCUCCUCGAAAGCGGGGGCAGGAGAAGUCAUCACAAUCGCAGUAGGGGCCGUACACUCGGCCAAAGCUGGACGGGUAGCACACACACUCCCCACA